GACGAACGCUGGCGGCAGGCUUAACACAUGCAAGUCGAACGAACUCUUCGGAGUUAGUGGCGGACGGGUGAGUAACACGUGGGAACGUGCCUUUAGGUUCGGAAUAACUCAGGGAAACUUGAGCUAAUACCGGAUGUGCCCUUCGGGGGAAAGAUUUAUCGCCAUUGGAGCGGCCCGCGUCUGAUUAGCUAGUUGGUGAGGUAAAGGCUCACCAAGGCGACGAUCAGUAGCUGGUCUGAGAGGAUGAUCAGCCACAUUGGGACUGAGACACGGCCCAAACUCCUACGGGAGGCAGCAGUGGGGAAUCUUGCGCAAUGGGCGAAAGCCUGACGCAGCCAUGCCGCGUGAAUGAUGAAGGUCUUAGGAUUGUAAAAUUCUUUUACCAGGGACGAUAAUGACGGUACCUGGAGAAAAAGCCCCGGCUAACUUCGUGCCAGCAGCCGCGGUAAUAC
rnacentral:rRNA from 1 species